rnacentral:lncRNA from 13 species
UCGUCACUAGUUAACACAUCCACAAAGUCAUAAUUAUGACAUGUACCUUUUAUCUUCUUAACAUUUAAUUUGAAACCUUACCAUAACCUUAACUCUAACAUUAACCACCUGCUAACCUUAUGCCUAACCAUAACCUUAAAUUAAGAACAAAAAGCACAUUUGUGUAAUCAAUUUUGACUUUGUGGCUGAGGAAUCUGACUUUGUGUCUGUGUUAACUAGUGGAGUACAGUACCAGUGGUCAAAACCCACAGAGGGAAAAGGGAAUAGCCAGGAGGGAGGGGUGAGAUAGAAGGUGUGUGGAAAUAAAGGACAGGCAAAGAGAGAGGGAGAGAGAGAGACAUCCCAGGAAGAAGACAGUGACGUCAAGGGACACCGCUGUCCAUACAACUUUACCAGACAGAGAGAGAGAGAGACAAACUAGACGGAGGCAAUCAGUGGUCAGAGGGAGAGGGCAGGCCCAGAAGGAGAGGGCUGGCCCAGAAGGAGAGGGCAGGCCCAGAAGGAGAGGGCAGGCUCAGAAGGAGAGGGCAGGCCCAGAAGGAGAGGGCUGGCCCAGAGAGAGGUGGGGAGAGGUGAGUGAUCAAGAGAGAAAUUGGGAAAGACAGAAAGAUGGAGGGGGAUACCCAUGCCCCCCAUACAGGUUAGGGGCCUGCAAGAAAGAUGGAGAGAUUGGUGUAAAGACCUCGAGAAAAAGUGAUUUGGGUGCUUUGUAUUGGAAAGGUUAAGCCACACCUCUGAAGCAUAUGUCAGACAUGGUGUGAAACAGAUGUGACAGAGGAAUAAUACAACACAUAGAGCAAUAAUGGUUGGAAAGGCAGUUGCUAUGCCAACCCCACAGUAUACAGAUUCAUUAUCCCCCUUCUCUGUCUAUAAAAGCGUGUACAAAGCAACACAGCGUUGUUGUGUUGUAAGGACAGUAAAUUACAUACGGAUUUAGCUACGAAACAGAGAAAGGGGGAGAUAGACAGAAGGGAGAGAGAGAUCAGCCCAUCCAUGGAUCCGAUCGGCCAUAAAACACACACACACACAUUUGUUCACUCUCCCUCUGUCUCUUUCAUUCCUCCAAUCUCUCCAUCUCUCAUAGUCCCCUUAACCUUUACAAGGGUGAUGAGAGGCACUAGUACUCCCCAAACACACACACAAGCACACAGUGUUGUUUGUACAAGGCCUGUUCAAGUGCAUCCUCCCUUCUUUCCUUCCUUCUAACCUUGUCACAGGCCUUAACAGCUAAUCCUGAAUGAUCAUGUUCAUGUUCCAGCUCCUUUGACUAAGUCGUCACAACGAACAAACAGUGGCACUGAGCAGAUGGCCACAGAUCAAAUGUGAACUGAUGAGAUUUGAUUUGAUUUGAACUGAUGAGCAAGUGAAGUAUAGGACCUCCUCAAUAAAGCACUAGACAGGGCCUCAGUCCAUCAGACAGUCAGUAAUAGCUGAGCUCCACAGCUUCCAUCAUAUCCUAAUGGUUGUGAUUGCAUUAGUGGCCUGAGAGCUGUGUGGGCUCACCCAGGGCUUCAUACUAAUCACUGUAUGCAGAUGGACACAGCCACAGCCCAGCGUUCUGUUCUCUAUCUGAUAGCCUAAUCAAGUAGAACAGAGGGAGAGAGAAGGAGGAGAGAACAGAGACAGUGAAAUGAUAGAGAAAAUAUAAAGAGAGGGAGAGAGAGAGAAAUAGAGGUAGGGAAAAUAUAGAGAAGGAUGAGAGUGAGAGCGGGAGAGAAUGGAGGGAGAGAGCUCUCCGUAAUGUGUUCCUGCUCCCAUCUAAGUGGAGAGACAGCAGCGCAGAACAUCUCGCCUUUUAAUGAAAGAACACUACAUGUAACACACACACACUCACACACACACACACACACACACACACACACACACACACACACACUAAAGGCCCUUCCAUUCUCAUACUGCGUUUUGAGCUAGGUGUCAUAGCGUCAGUGAACAGGGAGACACAGCCACAGCUAUUUGACAGUAUGUCAGUAGUGAAUAUAGUCCAAUUCCCAAUGAUUUAGUGAAUGAAUUGAUACAGUGACUAUGCCAGUCAGAGAAGUCUUCUCUAUUGCCAAACGUUGUCAACAGACUCAUCACCCGUUUGAGUAUCUGUUUCUUUAUUCUUCCAGGUUUUUGAUCAUAAAUCAACACUGAUUAUUUCUCCCAAAGCAGCUGCAUAUAUUUUCUAUGUCCAGUUUGUUCUUGCUACUUGCUGACAGCCUCACCAUGUGCAGCCUGUUUGCAGUUUUUAUUGUUCCAUGGAAAAGUACAGUGAAAUGCCUUUCUUGGUCUUUCCCAACAAUGUAGUAAUCAAUAUCAGUAGUACCCUAACAAAUAAAUAUAAACUCAAGUAGAACAAAAACACACGAGAAAUAGAAAUAAGAACAAGAGGAAGUAAGUAAGCGAUAUACACUGAGUAUACAAAAUAUUAAGAACACCUGCUCUUUCCAUGACAGACUGACCAGGUGAAUCCAGGUGAAAGUUAUGAUCCCUUAUUGAUGUCACUUGUUAAAUCCACUUCAAUCAGUGUAGAUGAAGGGGAGGAGACAGGUCAAAAAAUUAUUUUUAGACCUUGAGACAUGAAUUGUGUAUGUGUGACAUUCAGAGGGCAAGACAAAAGAUGGAAGUGCCUUUGAACAGGGAGGGGUAUGAGUUUUUUUGAAGUUGAGGUGCCAUUGCCAUGAUCUGUUGGGGAUGUCACAUCAGAAGAGUCAGUGUGUCUGUCACUAAUGCUACUUGGAAGUGUUUGAGGAGUUCAGAGGCUAACUAGUGUUUUGCAGUGUCAGCGUGAGACAGGAGGAGAGUGUGUGAGCGUACACGGGGGUGGAGUGUGUGUGUGUGUAUCUGAAAGGGUGUUACAUAUUCUUACUUAGUCAGCUGUCUGCAACCUUUCGGCUAAGUGACACUGACAGAUUCUCUCUCAUCUACAAACACACACACACACACACACUCUCUCUCUUUCUCAUCCUCUUAUUUUUCCUACAAAGUGAUCCCUCUCUCAUGCUCUUCACCACUGUAGCCAUGACUGGUCAUUUCUGGUCAUUUCUGUCUACUUCUCCCUCUUGUAUUCCCUUAUUCCCUUCUCUCAUUUAUUUCCAUCUGAGUACAUUGAUAAGCCAUUCAGUCUGAACUAGUAUUUCACUCUCUCAUUAGUCACACCUUCCUCCCCUCUAAAGGUGACUGAUUGGAUUGACAGAAUAAAUCCAACUGACAGGUCAAGAGAUUGUGGUAGAAGUAUAUUAUAUAUAACUUUUUAACAAGCGCACAUAGGCUCGACACAGGAGGUCAGGAAACACACACACACACACACACACACACACACACACACACACACACACACACACACACACACACACACACACACACACACACACACACACACACACACACACAGAGAGAGAGAGAGCAGCUUGAUAGAGCAGACGGACUCACCAACAGAGCACUUUUAUAAUUGUUUUAUGAGUUAUUGGAAGCGAAAAAUAGAUGUAUAAUGAAUUCAAAUCAAACCAAAUAAGGCUUCAUAACACAGCUUAAUCUAGUUUACUGAUGUAAAACGCAGAAAACACUGUCAAGGUACUCAUAAGACAAGUCUCUCACAGUUUCUGUCUGUUUCUAACAGGUUCUUAAGCAUGACUAACAGGUCACCUGGGACUGAUGCAUACUGACACACACACAC